GACGAACGCUGGCGGCGUGCUUAACACAUGCAAGUCGAACGGAAAGGCCCUGCUCUUGUGGGGUGCUCGAGUGGCGAACGGGUGAGUAACACGUGAGUAACCUGCCCUUGACUUUGGGAUAACUUCAGGAAACUGGGGCUAAUACCGGAUAGGAGCUCCUGCUGCAUGGUGGGGGUUGGAAAGUUUCGGCGGUUGGGGAUGGACUCGCGGCUUAUCAGCUUGUUGGUGGGGUAGUGGCUUACCAAGGCUUUGACGGGUAGCCGGCCUGAGAGGGUGACCGGCCACAUUGGGACUGAGAUACGGCCCAGACUCCUACGGGAGGCGGCAGUGGGAAAUAUUGCACAAUGGGCGGAAGCCUGAUGCAGCAACGCCGCGUGCGGGAUGACGGCCUUCGGGUUGUAAACCGCUUUCGCCUGUGACGAAGCGUGAGUGACGGUAAUGGGUAAAGAAGCACCGGCUAACUACGUG
rnacentral:rRNA from 1 species